rnacentral:tRNA from 1 species
GCCGGGGUUGUGAGCCGUGGUGAACCUCCAUGAACGCCGGAGGGUGCCCUCAGUUCGAACUUAAACCUCGCAGCCGAAAGGCAUACGGGUUCGAAUCCCGUCCCGGGCACCA